rnacentral:rRNA from 1 species
GAUGAACGCUGGCGGCGUGCCUAAUACAUGCAAGUCGAGCGAACAGAUGAGGAGCUUGCUCCUCUGACGUUAGCGGCGGACGGGUGAGUAACACGUGGAUAACCUACCUAUAAGACUGGGAUCACUUCGGGACACCGGAGCUAAUACCGGAUAAUAUAUUGAACCGCAUGGUUCAAUAGUGAAAGACGGUUUUGCUGUCACUUAUAGCUGGAUCCGCGCCGCAUUAGCUAGUUGGUAAGGUAACGGCUUACCAAGGCAACGAUGCGUAGCCGACCUGAGAGAGUGAUCGGCCACACUGGAAGUGGGACACGGUCAAGACUCCUACGGGAGGCAGCAGUAGGGAAUCUUCCGCAAUGGGCGAAAGCCUGACGGAGCAACGCCGCGUGAGUGAUGAAGGUCUUCGGAUCGUAAAACUCUGUUAUUAGGGAAGAACAAAUGUGUAAGUAACUAUGCACGUCUUGACGGUACCUAAUCAGAAAGCCACGGCUAACUACGUG